UACGUAGGUGGCAAGCGUUGUCCGGAUUUACUGGGCGUAAAGAGCGCGCAGGCGGUCGUUCAAGUCGCGUGUGAAAGCCCCCGGCUCAACUGGGGAGGGUCACGCGAUACUGAUCGACUGGAAGGCAGGAGAGGGUAGUGGAAUUCCCGGUGUAGUGGUGAAAUGCGUAGAUAUCGGGAGGAACACCAGUGGCGAAGGCGACUACCUGGCCUGUUCUUGACGCUGAGGCGCGAAAGCUAGGGUAGCAAACGGG
rnacentral:rRNA from 1 species